rnacentral:ncRNA from 1 species
UAUAAAGCUAUGAUAAGAAUUAGUAGGAUUAAUGUAUUCUAACAGAGAGUUUCCGGUAGGUGAGAGGAGCAAGAAAAGUUAAUUUGAAUACAUCUUGGAGCAGUUUUCCUGAAAGAUAACAACCACUAGGGAAAAACGGAGUAGCAUACGUUAUAAUGCUAGGGUAUAAUUUUGUACCUAAUGAGGUUAAUACUGUGAGGUAUUAAUAAAUUAAGGUGGUAACACGUAAGCACAAGCUUUCGUCCUUUUA